AUGGCAUGUCAUGUAGCAAUGUGGCCUGCUUUUGUUUGUUUCCUUAUUUCUCCCACUCAACAUUCCAUGUCCCCAAAGGCUAAAUGGACCAGACACCCAUCUGGGUCUGCUCACAUUCAGAGAGUUUUUCAUCAAAGAUGUCCAAAAGAAAAAUCCAACGGCUCUGAUCAACUGGGUUUUCACUUUUUGUUCCGUUAUUACAAUCUGAUCACAGACUGUACACACUCAUGCAGAAACCAAAAAAGCGAUAUAAAGAGAGAAGAAGAAGAAGAAGUAACAAAAAAGCUGGUGGGUUUCUGCUACGGCUUUCAAAAUUUUGGUGUGAAAGACAGAGCAUUAACAGCGACAGUGCAAAGGCAGCCGAUCCCAUAA
rnacentral:lncRNA from 1 species